rnacentral:lncRNA from 1 species
CAUUACAGUCGCAGCAAGCAAGAUUGAUCGAUCUUUUCCAACUACCAUUACCCUGGGAAACAAGAAGAAAUUAAUUGUAUGUAGUAGAGGCACAUUAUUCUUUUGGAAUGCUGGGGGGGCACCUUCUAGGCUUCUAUUCCACUAAUGUCUAAUAGUCUCUUAUAUAUAUUUGCAGGGCCAAUCACUAUAUUACAUGUUGAAGAACGAAUCCAACAGCAGAUUCCAGACACUUGUAAACGGUGGCAAGUAUGUUUGAGUGCUGUUCAGUUUCUUAAUUAAUUACAUUUUUCAAUAUAUGCCGGAUCUAAGUUGGAAGUACUUGUGAGCAAUCAUUUUCAUUUUUCUGUUUACAGCUGUUCAAGGGAAGCGCUAAAUGGCACAAAUAUCAAGGGAAAAGUUGUUCUCUGCAUUGAAAUAACUUUUGGCCCAGUAGCAAAAAUUUUCAAAGAUGCCUUAGCAAAUGUCCAUAGUGGUGGCGCAUCUGGCCUUAUUUUGGCUCUAUAUACCACAGAUUUUCUUGUGAGCACUGAGGGAUGCCAAGGCAUGCCCUGUGUUUUAAUUGACAUUGAUAUUGGGUUUCAAGUUCUAACAUACAUUGGCAGUCAACGGUAAGAAUUAUUUUGUGAGCUACCAAGCUUAGCGGUUAUAUUUUCUCCACAACCACAAAAAAUCUUAAAUAGUCUAGUAAUGUAAUUGUGUAGAUUACCAAUUGUAAAGAUUGAGCCAGCAAGCAGCGUUACAGGAAAACAAGUUCUGGCACCAAAGGUUGCAAUGUUCUCCUCAAGAGGCCCAUCCAUCAAAUACCCUACAAUUCUUAAGGUACACAAGCUGAACACAGUGAAUCCAUUUUGUAUAGACAAUCUAAAUUGUUUUGGGGAAAGUCAUCUACAUUUUACCUGUGCAUGCAUCUUGUGACAAAAAUAUAGAACAUAAGGAUAUAGGCUGAUAUUUAAUUUAUUACAUAAGUUAGCUAUGAUUUAUUGCAACAGCACUUUCCUGAUCUUGGCAUUACCACUUUUAACAGCCUGACAUAGCAGCCCCAGGAGUCAACAUUUUAGCAGCCACAAAAGAUGCGUACGUAUUUAACUCAGGAACAUCAAUGGCAACACCACAUGUAGCAGGUGUUGUGGCAUUGCUAAAGGUUCUACAUCCCCAAUGGUCUCAUGCUGCCCUAAAAUCUGCAAUUAUCACCUCUGGUAAUCAUCUCAUCCUCAUGAAAUGCUAUAUCGGUGAACUCAUAUGCACCACCUUACUUAUGAUUUACCUAUUGCAUGGAAAAAGCAUCAACCAAGGAUGAACAUGGCACGCCAAUUUUAGCAGAAGCACUACCUAGGAAGGUAGCUGACCCAUUUGACUAUGGAGGGGGGAACAUAAAUCCUAAUGGAGCUGCUGAUCCUGGCCUCAUUUACGACAUUGAUCCAAGGGAGUACAACAAGUUCUUUGAAUGCCAGAUCAAGAAAUACGAGAUUUGCAACAUCACAACGAAGCCAGCCUAUCACCUAAACCUGCCAUCUAUAUCUAUUCCUGAACUGAGGCACACAAUUAAGGUGGAGAGAACAGUGACAAAUGUUGGCAAGAUCGACGCGGUUUAUCGAUCAGACAUUCAGUCCCCCUUAGGAGUCAAGAUCAGAGUUGAACCAGCAACACUAGUCUUCAAUUCCACAAAGAAAGUGCACACCUUCAAGGCUAGCAUAAAACCACUGUGGAAGGUGCAAGGGGACUACACAUUUGGCAGCCUGACUUGGUACAACGAGCAGCAUACAGUGAGGAUCCCAAUAGCAGUCCGGAUCACAAUACAAGAUUUCUAUGCCGAUGUUGCAUGAUCUGAAGCAGAUGGCUGGAGAAUAAAGAUCGGUAGCCCAUACAUUACUUUUUAUGUGCAUCAAAAAUAAGACGAUUACUUGAAAUUGGUACUUAUAAAGCAUUGGCAUUUGGCAAUAAGAAGACUUUUGGGGUGUUACAAUUAUUAGGUUAACUGGUUACUGGUGAGGUCCAAAUCUUUGUUUUAUCACGGUUAAUCGAAGGACGGGAUCAAUGCGAGCAGAGAGAGGAUGGGACGUACGCGUAGCUGGCGGCGCAGGACGCCGAGGGGUUCGCCGGGCUUGCCGUGGCGGGCGGCGCUUCUUCCGCCGUCGGAUGUGGGGGUAGGCAAGGAGUUCGGGACGGGGGCUCUCUAUGCAUGUGAACUUCCAGCCCAACGCCGACCCAUCCUCCCCUUCAUCUUUUUCCCUGCACAGCUCACCAUCCCC